GUUAAUUUUUCCACAUCAUUGCCUCUCCUUUCGCAUCUGGCUCUGCGUUGACCAGCAAUUCCCAUCCAUGGCGGACUCCGCGCUCAUCGCUGCCGGUGCUCGUCCUUGGCUUCCUGUGCUUACCGGCCAACAGCGCACCUGUGCUCGUCGCCCCGGCCGCCCGCGCUCGCCGGCCUACAGAGCUCCGUCGCGCCGACGCUAGACUAGUUCCAGCAAUUAAAAAUGCCACAUGUAGCAAAUUUAUGCACCAGUUGUAGCAUUUUUCCACCUUGGUUGUAGCUCCGUUGCGCCAACGUCGUAGCCGACAGUCGACUAGUUCCAGCAAAAAAUGAUGCUGGAUGUAGCAAAAAAAAUUGCUAGUUCCAACAAAAAUCAAAGCCGGUGAGAGCAGAAUUGGAGCCGGUUCCGGCAAAACAAAAAUAUAGUGGUAACAAAAAAGAUUGUUGGUUCCAGCACAAAUCGAAGUCGGUGGUAGCAAAAUUGGGGCUAGUCCAGCACUACUGAGAUAGUAGUAGCAACACAGGUGAUAAUUCCAGCAAAAACAAAGCCAUUGUAGCAAAAAAUUGGGCUGGUUCCAGCAAAAUCUAAAGAUGGUGGUAGCAAAAUUGGGGCUGGUUGCAUAAACAAACACACUCAUUCUAGCAAAAAAAUACCACCAUCUCCGUCGCCGGUCACCGUGAGCGGUUGUUCCAGCACCUUCAACCCGUGGUUGUAGCCUUCCUCAUGGCCGGUCCCAGCAUCUGACCGUCAUCGAAUGUAGCACGCCGUGGCCGCGAACUCCCCUUGAUGUGCUCGAUGGUGGACUACCGCAGACUGAGCUCGCUCUCCUUGGAAUCCAUGGCAGACUGCUGCAUGAGAGGAGAGAUGGAGACACAAAAGCUUGAUAUGUGGGGAUUAAUGGCGGAUUCCCCGUGGGGAAGAGAGAUGAGGCAGAAAGGGAAGCGGCGAUGCCUUUGAGCGAUGUGGAUAAGGUCUGGGUGGACGAGAUGCUUCAGGCAAUGCGAUUAGGUAUGGGUGCCUGGUCCUACUAGCUUUUUGUAUCGCGAG
rnacentral:rRNA from 1 species